UGGGGAAUUUUGGACAAUGGGCGAAAGCCUGAUCCAGCAAUGCCGCGUGUGUGAAGAAGGCCUUCGGGUUGUAAAGCACUUUUGUCCGGAAAGAAAUCCUUGGCUCUAAUACAGUCGGGGGAUGACGGUACCGGAAGAAUAAGCACCGGCUAACUACGUGCCAGCAGCCGCGGUAAUACGUAGGGUGCAAGCGUUAAUCGGAAUUACUGGGCGUAAAGCGUGCGCAGGCGGUUUACUAAGACCGAUGUGAAAUCCCCGGGCUCAACCUGGGAACUGCAUUGGUGACUGGCAGGCUAGAGUAUGGCAGAGGGGGGUAGAAUUCCACGUGUAGCAGUGAAAUGCGUAGAGAUGUGGAGGAAUACCGAUGGCGAAGGCAGCCCCCUGGGCCAAUACUGACGCUCAUGCACGAAAGCGUGGGGAGCAAACAGGAUUAGAUACCCUGGUAGUCCACGCCCUAAACGAUGUCAACUAGUUGUUGGGGAUUCAUUUCCUUAGUAACGUAGCUAACGCGUGAAGUUGACCGCCUGGGGAGUAC
rnacentral:rRNA from 1 species